rnacentral:rRNA from 1 species
GGACGAACGCUGGCGGCGUGCUUAACACAUGCAAGUCGAACGGAAAGGCCCUGCUUUUGUGGGGUGCUCGAGUGGCGAACGGGUGAGUAACACGUGAGUAACCUGCCCUUGACUUUGGGAUAACUUCAGGAAACUGGGGCUAAUACCGGAUAGGAGCUCCUGCUGCAUGGUGGGGGUUGGAAAGUUUCGGCGGUUGGGGAUGGACUCGCGGCUUAUCAGCUUGUUGGUGGGGUAGUGGCUUACCAAGGCUUUGACGGGUAGCCGGCCUGAGAGGGUGACCGGCCACAUGGGGACUGAGAUACGGCCCAGACUCCUACGGGAGGCAGCAGUGGGGAAUAUUGCACAAUGGGCGGAAGCCUGAUGCAGCAACGCCGCGUGCGGGAUGACGGCCUUCGGGUUGUAAACCGCUUUCGCCUGUGACGAAGCGUGAGUGACGGUAAUGGGUAAAGAAGCACCGGCUAACUACGU